rnacentral:rRNA from 1 species
UCAAGAACAUUCCACAAUGGGCGAAAGCCUGAUGGAGCGACGCCGCGUGCAGGAAGACGGCCUUCGGGUUGUAAACUGCGGUAGCUAGGGAGGAACGCAAGUGACUGUACCUAGCGGAAAGUGGUGGGUAACUACGUGCCAGCACCAGCGGUAAUACGUAGACCACAAGCGUUAUCCGGAUUUAUUGGGCGUAAAGCGUGUGUAGGGGGUUCGGUGCGUCUGUGGUUAAAGCCCACCGCCUAACGGUGGAAGUGCCACGGAUACGAUCGAACUGGAGGGCGUUAGAGGUGCACGGAACAUAUGGUGUAGGGGUGAAAUCCGUUGAUAUCAUAUGGAACACCGAAGGCGAAGGCAGUGCACUGGGACGUUCCUGACCCUGAGACACGAAAGCGUGGGGAGCAAAAAGGAUUAGAUACCCCGGUAGUCC